AAACAUAAGCAACAGAGUUGCCAUCCAACCAGCAUCGAACAAUCCAAAAAACUUGCAAAUCCAGUGGUAACCCAACCUGCAAAAGUCAAAGAAGCAGGUUAAUACUAUAUUUACCUCCUACUAUUUUUAUUCUUACCAACACAUGAAUCUCCACGAAGAAAUGAAACAUUUGUGACUGGCUAUACAAUGCUAUGUGUAACAUAUAUGUUGACAAAUAUAACAUUCAGUGACAAUGAGCAACUAAAUAAAACCCGCCCGACACCACAAUGGGACACACGACACAGCUUACCAGUUAUUUAAAACAUAAAUGCAUCAAGAAGAACACAUACCGACGACCAUGGACGUCAGGCAUCGAGAUUGUACCCACCCCCAGCUGAACAUAUAAUUAGGAUACUUAAGAAACAGACAAAUAAACAAACACACUAAAAAUCUGACCUUAAACACAUGGAUGAUAGCUCACCUCAAAAUUUAGAUAUAUGUCUUCCAUGACUACCCACACUCUUCGUCGAGCCCCUCAGCACUUACUCCACAACUGCGGUAACAUCGACAAAUUCCAGGGAAUUUCCACAAACAUGUAGAAAAUAUUUCGACAAAGAACACUCCCCACCAAAAAACUACAAAGCUGCUUUAACAACCAAAUGAAAAAAAAAGGAAAAAAAAUUCAAUCAACUUUAGCUUGACAAAAACAUCAAUAAAAACACACACAAAAAGAAUCUUCACAAAUAGUAUCAACGGUCUCAAGAUCGACUCAAAUCCGACUAUGAUAUAAUUUUUUUUAAAAAGACGACUAUGAUAAUUUAUCAUGUUUAACUUCAAACAAUAUUAACAAGCGCUGCCAACAAUGCUAUCUCUAUAAACAAAGGAAUAAAAUUUAUUUAAUAUGUGGUCAAUUGUCUUUUAUCUUAAGCUAAUACUUUAAAAUCCAACAACUUUUAUGUACUACAACGAUAACAAUUAUUUCUAAAAUUAUGUUGGUCACAAAUAAAAAAAUAUAUCUCCUUCACAAAAUUUAUUUGCAAAUCUCCUCAGAAUCAAACAUAUAUAUUCCAUUAACAUCGUAUUUAUACAAUACUUUAAUAAAUAUAAUAGUUCAACUAUGAAACAAACACAUAUCCACCAGAAUAGUUAUUAUUCCUUACAUGUAGAAUCGGAACAUAGU
rnacentral:lncRNA from 1 species